AAAAUGACGCAAGGUAUUAACAAUGUAAUUAAAUGUUUUUUGAAGAAUAAAAAUCUAGAAAAACUGGUUCUAGUGUUUCAAAUAAUCCAGUCGUAGUCAAUAAUGUCGAGGAUUGAGUCUCUUAAGCCGUACGAGCUGAACAGCGGUAAACUGAAGCGCUUUACUAGCGGGUUAAUUAACUCACCCUGACGCAUCAUAUACACAUGAGAUUAAUUAGACAUUACACAACUUAAAUCUAAUAUUACAACUCGCUUCUGCACAAAAUGACGCCGCGAAUGCACAAGUGAAGUUGAACUUAAGUACGGCGCUCGGUAGAACGGUAAGUCGCUCUUUCCGUAACGACGCACUAAAACACGGACAAUUAAUAACUAAAGCAUAAAGAGUUCACUCUAGUGUACUACAGUAGAGUACUCAUGCUAAUGUUAUUAUUUCAGGAGAUCAGGUUUUCACAAGGGCAGUUUUCACAUGUUUUUGUUGAUCCAUGUUGAAGUUAAUAUAUAAAAUGUGAGAAUAUUCGCUUUCAUUUUUGCAUUCUCUCAUCAAAUAAAACGCCGUUAACUAAUAUUCGAUGAUAUUUUAGUCCGAGUCUAAUUGACUAAAAUGAAUAAAUAUGACGACCAAAAACUGACUAAAUUUAAAGGAUAUUUUUGCCAGAGGAAAUUAAACAAAACAUUUUUCGCCAUACCAAUUCCAGUGUCUGAAUAUUCUUAAGAAUUAAAAGUUCUUUGCACUUUGAAAGGGUGUACUUGCAUUAUUCUGUUAUUAUAUUAUCAUUAUAGCAGUGGAAUAAAAUGGUCUUAAAAUUGCAAUAAUAUCGUUUAUCGCAAUUAUUUCUGAGACAAUAUAUCGUCCAACAAAAGUGGUUAUCGUGUAGUGAACAUUGAACAGAACUUGUAGCUGAUGUCAUCCAGCACAGAAGAAUCACUAGAACACUUGGGUUUCAGCCAGAGGUGUGCACAUUGUUAACCAUUUAAAGUGUCAGUACUUGAAUCGUGAAAUCAGUGUCUGGUAGGUGAAAUAGUGUCUGGUAGGUAUAGUGAAUCGUGAAAUCAGUGUCUGGUAGGUGAAAUAGUGUCUGGCAGGUAUAGUGAAUCGUGAAAUCAGUGUCUGGUAGGUCUGUCGCGAUACCUAAAACUCGAUACGAUACAAUAACUGAAACUUAAUAAUGGCACGAAAUAAAAGACCGCGAAUUAAACAUUAGUCAAACCUUUCAAGGGGGUGUGUCUGAAGCGCGAGGCUUUUCCCGUUCUAACGUUUGUUAGUUGUUCUAUCAGAGUCACGCAGCUCUCUGUAGCCUUGGACGUGUUUUUGAAUCUUGUGUUCUGCACUACCAUAUACGGACUUUCCCAUCGCCAUGGUGAUUUCUUUAAUCUAGAUUGAAUAAGCAAGAAAAGCAGCAAAAAGUUUGUUUUGUGUGUGUUGCUUCAAGUUUACGUUUAGUUUUAUACACUGGCACAGAAGAGUGAUCUAGGGUGCGCCUCAAUCAGCACCCAAGUAGUCAGAAGUCAGGGCAACGAUCAGGGACUCGGCCAUUUUAAAGGCUGUCUCAAUUGCAAAAUCCUUCCGGUGCCCUGGAAUGUUUGGUCCCUAAAAAAAUCCCACAAUGCACCGCAAAAACCAAGAAGCAUCGAUGCUCACUAUGUUCCCUAACUGGAAAAGAUAUUGGUCCUGCCUGCUGUUGAUAAAUGCCAGUGGUGACGUUUUACAACCAUGUCACAGGGAACCGGGUCAUCGGUGUCCCAAUGUUUAAUGAGCCAGGGUCCUUACCAGUGCACGAACCCGUGUACACCAUAUACUGAUUCAUGACCUACAGAGCUGAUUGAGAUGCACCCAUAGAUUCGGUACACUGUAAACUCACCAGGAUGCCAAAGCGCUCUCAAAUGCCAAACCUCAAAGAGUGAAGCCACUGGUGUUUUUCCCCCCAAGCUUUCACACUAAAGCUAAUCCAAAAACAGCAUGCUUAGAAGAGGUGGGUUUUUUAAAAGCCCCAUAGACUCUCCUACUCUUUCAAGGAGGGAAUGCGGGCUCGAUUACGCUGAAAUGUUUAUUACACCACACAUAAUAUAUGCUGUAUUUUAUGACAAACAGCCUACUUUAUUAUGCAGACUGCUGAAUGUAUUUUUCCAUAUGCAGACGUAUCAAACCGAGAAGCCAUGUCAUUAUCCCCCUACUGCUCGUGUAUUUAGUAUUCCAUGCGUCUAUGUUCGAUCUGGGGAGGGAAAACCGUAAAAAGAGGCUGACUAUAGAAGAUAACGUAAAUAGUUGGCAGAGCAGAGAAAGGAAAUUGAGAACAAGCUCAAAGAGGUGUAAAAUUUUAUUUUAUUUUUUUAAAUCAGAUCUGCGUUUGUGGGGUUGUUGUUUAUCUGAGGUAUUAGAAAUCUGUACAUAUUGUACAUUUUAUUUCCACACCGACCUCCUGUCUCGGUCUCUGGAGCGCGAGUGGCUUCGUCUGCUCGAGUGUUUGCUGCGGCUGGUCACUCUGCUCCCCGAUGAGCUGGAGGAGGAAGAGGACGAAGACGAGCGUCGUCUGUGCUUCUUUUUGCGGCGGCUGCGGCUGUCGUCCUCGCUGUCUGACGAGCGGCGGCCCAUGUCUGCUCAGUGCCUGGGUCGAAACAGGAAAGAGGAAAAAAAAAAAAAGAUAUGAUGCACCAUCUAAGAUGUUGCGAGGCCAGAAUACCAACUAUAAAUUGUUAAAGCUUUGAG
ensembl:lncRNA